UACGAAGGGGGCUAGCGUUGCUCGGAAUUACUGGGCGUAAAGCGCACGUAGGCGGCUUUUUAAGUCGGGGGUGAAAUCCUGGAGCUCAACUCCAGAACUGCCUUCGAUACUGGAAAGCUCGAGUCCGGGAGAGAUGAGUGGAACUGCGAGUGUAGAGGUGAAAUUCGUAGAUAUUCGAAAGAACACCAGUGGCGAAGGCGGCUCACUGGCCCGGUACUGACGCUGAGGUGCGAAAGCGUGGGGAGCAAACAGG
rnacentral:rRNA from 1 species